rfam:Bacillus licheniformis ATCC 14580, complete genome.
GGUGAAGAUAGAGGUGCGAACUUCAAGAGUAGGCUUGAUGAGGAAGAUGGAUUCCGAUGAAGAAAGCCGAAAGGGGAGCGUCGCCGAAGCGGGGAAAAAUCCACUCGUUUUUCCUGCUGGCUUUACAUUGAAUAAAUGUGAGGCUGUCAAGAAAUCAUUUCUUGGAGAGCUAUCUCGUUG